ACGCUCGACACCUACGGGAGGCAGCAGUGGGGAAUAUUGCACAAUGGGGGGAAACCCUGAUGCAGCGACGCCGCGUGAAGGAAGAAGUAUUUCGGUAUGUAAACUUCUAUCAGCAGGGAAGAAAAUGACGGUACCUGAGUAAGAAGCACCGGCUAAAUACGUGCCUGCAGCCGCGGUAAUCUGAGCGGGCUGGCAAGGC
rnacentral:rRNA from 1 species